GGGUCACACCGUAUGGACCGCUACCAUCAGAGAGGGAGACUGUGUACAUCAUCUAGAUGAAAACCCCCAGAAACCAUCAAAAGGCAGAAAGAGACAAAGUAGCACGUCAGAGGAAGAGCUCUGUCACAAACGCAGUAAGAAAGCUCGCGGCAUUGACGAGCCCGACUGUAACGCGACGGCCGCGGCUCCGGACCUGACGGACCAGCAGCUGAUGCAGGUGGCCAAACGCAUGGGGAUGGG